rnacentral:rRNA from 1 species
GACGAACGCUGGCGGCGUGCUUAACACAUGCAAGUCGAACGGUAAGGCCCCUCGGGGUACACGAGCGGCGAACGGGUGAGUAACACGUGGGUGAUCUGCCCUGCACUCUGGGAUAAGCCUGGGAAACGGGGUCUAAUACUGGAUAUGACCUCAGCAUGCAUGUGCUGGGGUGGAAAGCUUUUGUGGUGCAGGAUGGGCCCGCGGCCUAUCAGCUUGUCGGUGGGGUAAUGGGCUACCAAGGCGACGACGGGUAGCCGACCUGAGAGGGGGACCGGCCACACUGGGACUGAGACACGGCCCAGACUCCUACGGGAGGCAGCAGUGGGGAAUAUUGCACAAUGGGCGGAAGCCUGAUGCAGCGACGCCGCGUGAGGGAUGAAGGCCUGCGGGUUGUAAACCUCUUUCAGCAGGGACGAAGCGUGAGUGACGGUACCUGCAGAAGAAGCACCGGCUAACUACGUGCCAGCAGCCGCGGUAA